rfam:Auricularia subglabra TFB-10046 SS5 ATRDEscaffold_1_Cont35, whole genome shotgun sequence.
GACACUAUGGCCGAGUGGUUAAGGCGAUUGACUCGAAUUAUGAAAUCAAUUUCCCUUUGGGAGCGCCAGUUCGAAUCUGGUUGGUGUCG